GCGCCCCGGAUGGUGACUCCAGGUCUGUUGCGUGCCCAGAGCUGUCUCCUCCAGCUGUUUGGCUGAGAGUCUAACCCUGCAAUUACUUGAGUCGGCCGAAUCUCCCUCCCGCCCUGAUCUGUAAAGUGAAAGCAUGGAGAAAAGCAUUCCUCUGAAAGGCAAAGGAGAGAAGAGCAGUGACUAUGUGUGAAGAACCAGGUAAAUGCCAUCACCAAAUGCCAUCACCAGCCAGAGCUCCCGGCUGCUGAGUACUUUGUACAGGGUUCCCUGGUUUCAACUCCUGCUUUCCUUAAGCUUUCUGGAUUCUCCGUGUACUUCUCUUCAAGUUAUCUCUACUAGUUGCCUCUUUGGUUGGACCACCCACCACCAAAAACAAACUGUCUGGUGAUUCUCUGGCUAAAUUGAAAACAACAGGAAGGCAACAUUCAGGAAAAAAUUGACUAACCUCAAGAACUGUGCAGUGUAUGCGUGUAUAGUCCUGGACUAAAAGUUGGGCAUGUAAAGAUGGUAUUGAAACCGGCCCAAAGGACCUUCAGGCUUUUGCCUGCCACCCUGAAGCCAAACACCGGACACAGGUUUUAUUGCUGAUAUCUGGGGACACAAUGUUUCAGACCUGGCUAGCCAUCAACAUUUGCUGGACUACUGUGAUCAAGACCGGUGAAAAGGAGAACUGGAACUGCUACUACCUGAAUGUGUCUUGUGACCUGGUUGAACUGUUUUUUUAUAGAGAAGCAGCCAAUAGUGACCCAGUGAUACUCUUCACUGGCCAAACCACAUCUGGAGUUCUUUAUUCAGUUCUAGAUUGAGCACUUUAAGAAGACCUCAAGGAAGUUGGAAUUAUUUCAGAGGAGAACAAAAUGAUGGAAAGAACUCAAAAGUACCACCAAUGAAGAAGUAGUGAUUGAACUUGGAAGGAUUUUUAUAGAAAGGAAAAAGCUACUGGGACUACCUCCAAAUAAGUAAAGAUUCAUCAGAUGACAGAUUUGUUUCAUGUGUUCUUAAAAAGUGCACACUUAAGAGAAACAAAUUUCAGAUCCUGAAAAGAAAAUUACCUUCUAGCACUAGCCAGAAAAGUUGUGGCUUAGGGUGGGUGGAAGCCCUGACCAUUGGAUUUUACUUUAAGUAGAUUCCUAUGGUUUUUAAAGGGGAAUGGGUACAGAGAAGCCAUGCAUCAAGAGAAGAAUUAGUUGAUGGGUUUUUUUUUAAAGCCAUUUCCAGCCAUAACCGGUUUGGCUCAGUGGAUAGAGCA